GAGCCGUCUGCAGGUGCCGGGUCGUUCUCCUCCUCCUGGUCGUCGUCGGAGAAAGGACGCCGUGCUGCCGGUGACAAGACUGCUAUGAUGAGAUCGUGUUCCACGAGAACAGGCCAGCACCAGGUGAGAAGUGAGAGAUCGAUGUUCCCUGCGUCGAUGUUCGAUGCAUGAACCUGUUACGAACUUGCAUUUGUUCGAUCAUCAAGACACAAAAGUUUGUGCUAAUCGAUCGAGGAAAUUAAACAUGCAGGUGGUGGUGUUGAGGGUAUCUCUGCACUGCAAGGGAUGCGCCGGCAAGGUGAAGAAGCACAUCUCCAAGAUGGAAGGUGAAUACAUCCGUGAGAAAGCAUCAUAUCUCCAUUCAUUCGUGCGUUAACUAAAGCAAAGCAUAUGUAUGUUUCCAGGAGUUACUUCUUUCGACAUCGACAUCGCGACGAAGAAGGUGACGGUCGUGGGAGACGUGACGCCGCUCGGUGUGCUCAACAGCAUCUCCAAGGUCAAGAGCGCCCAGUUCUGGCCGGACGCUUUGUCCUCUCUGUCCACGCCGCCGCGUGCCUCCGC
rnacentral:lncRNA from 1 species